rnacentral:lncRNA from 1 species
CGUACAGAGCAUCAACCAAAUGAACAUAAAGAAAAAUAGAAAACACAUGACACUGCAGAGCAUCAACCGAGUACACCAAAAUCAGAAGCCCCUGUUGUCCCCAUAUCAACAUGUAUGAGAAUAAAACAAACUUGGCCCAUUUGCUUCUCCGAACUUGACUGCCCUUGCCAUGAUAUGCUUAGAGUAUUUAUCUAGUCAAACCAAGUAGUACUACAUCACUGACCAUUGAGAAACAAGUACUCGAAGAAAUUGCAAAGGCAAAAACUUCAAAUUCUUGCAGUAAUCAUAAAUGCAUAUUCUGUCGUUUACAGAAAUGUUAAAGAAAUUUCUUAGUGCACACGGAAGAUUGGGGAAGAUGGGAAACAAAAAUUCUGGAUGCACAGCUAUAAAGAAUCUCAUGAAUGACAGAUAGGCGUUAUUAAGGUCAAAUCAUUGUUACCUUAACUGAUUUCACCUUUAAUUGGUAGAAAAUCAGUGACUAAUUAGAAGCCAUUAAGAUAGGCGUUAUUUUAGGCUACACCUUAUUAAGAAUCUUUUUUAGCCUUAAUUAUCUAGCGUUAAUUUAGGAUGGAAAAUCAGC